AGAAAGAGAGAGAGAGGUUUGGGGAGAAACAUAGGAAGAGAGAGAAAGAAGGGGGUUUAGAAAAGCAUAGAAAAAAUGAUGUCUUUUUAACACUUGUUUGGGCUAAACAUAUGGGUUAAAGUGGUUAAAGUUUGUCUAGGGUGUUAAAAGAUAUAAUACAUGGGAUCUCUAUGACGCCAGAUAUGUUUUGAAUGAGAAAUGAAAUCUAAAAAUAGGGUAUACUGAGAUAUUUUCCCUACAUUAUAUUUUGAUUCAUAAUACAUGGGAAAUAAGGUGUUGGAACCUAGAGAUAUGGUGCAAUAAAUGUCCGGAAUGGUUAAAGGAGUUAUUUUGUGUUGUUCUGCAUAAUCUUUCAGCUGCAAGACAUCGCUCUCUUGAUGGACUAUCUGUUGCAUUGUGGUUUUGAGUUCAUGGAUUUAAACUAAAUCAGUGUUUCGCGACUCAGCUGAGGUCACUCGAACUCGGCCUAGUUACUCAGCCUCGCCAUAUGGGCAAGGCGAGUUUUUCCCAAGUUGGCUCUACAUCAUGUAGGUCUUUGUUAUAUAUAUAAUAUGUCAACUUUAAUGCAAAAAAUGUUCAAAUUGUUUGAGUAGCCUGUAUUCCUCUUCCUUGUUAUGUUGUGGGUCCAUUCCCCCUGUGAACACUGCCUCAUGUAUUUCUUUAUAAGUAGGCCUUAUUUUUUUACAAGUUAAAAAAAAAAUUCCAGAAGCUCAUGUUUGGGGAUCGAGCUCGAUACCUCAUGUAGGUCUUUGUUAUGUAUAUAAUAUGUCAACUUUAAUGCAAAAAAUGUUCAAAGUGUUUGAAUAGCAUGUAUUGCUCUUCCUUGUUAUGUUGUGGGUCUAUUCCCCCUGUGAACACUGCCUGAUGUAUUUCUUUAUAAGUAGGCCUUAUUUUGUUACAAGUUAAAAAAAAUAAUUCCAGAAGCUCAUGUUUGGGGAUCGAGCUCGAUACCUCUCGGGUUGAGAGGCACCCGAGGACGGUAAAUAUAACCAGUACCCCACUUUGUGUUUUAUAUAAAUACAUUGUAGAUCAUGUAAUAUAUAUUAUUUUUUGGCCUUUAUUUUUAUUUUUUUUAACUUGGCUUGGAUUUCGGGCAAGUUACUCGGACUCGCCCAACUAACUCGCCUUGGCCAAGGUAGCCAAGGGCCAAGUACCUUCGUCACACUGAACUAAAUGGUAGAAACCUCCAUUUCCAUACCAUCUCCUCUACCCUAUCAUCCUGACUUUCUUCCUUGAAAGCUCAUGGAAAAUGAUUGUUAGCUCCAAAGAUCAUGUUGUUUUGAUCAUCUUCCGCUUUAGGUUUUAUGUGCUUUCUUUUGGGUCUCAAGGCUUUAAUUUUGGAUUAGGUAGGAUCCUCUUGAUGUGUUGUUCUUGCAUGAUACCGAUAGCAUUCUAAUCAAUGUAAUUAACCUCUACUGAUAAACUGGCCCAGUUUCAUUCUGGUUUGUAUAUUUGUUGUAUCUAUCCAAACACAUUUAUUGUGAUGCUAUUCAAAUUAUUUUUACUCAACAAUGUUGAAUAUCGGAAAAAAUAGUAGACAUCAUUCCCUCUGUAAUUUUAAAGUACACUAUCAACCAUUUUACAGGUGACUUUUGACCUUAUUAUAAAUGAUUUCUUUGGUUUGAAUAAUCAUCUCAGUUUAUCUAUUUAUUCACAGACCUUUUUUCAAAUAAAUAUGAAACAGUGCAUUUCAAAUUGCCCAUGAUUUGGAUGGAUCAGUAAUAUGUGUCAUUUAGGAUAGCAUUCUUCUUGUAGCUCUAUUCAAUCUUUAGACACGACCAGAGAUCAAAGCUGCAAAUGCAAGGAUGUUGGGGGGUGGAGGGCCAUUAUCAGUUGCCAUCUUUAAAAGCAACACGUGUUUGUGUAAUGGAGGCGGCAUUUGAUACUGGAUAGACACGUGGAUUGGUGAAUGCACUGUCUGCAAGAAGUUUCCUGAUUUGUAUGCCCUUUGUGACCCUCCCAAAUGCAAUGAUACAAGAUGUGGCCGUAGGACGGGCUUCAGAGUUUACUGGUUUAGUGGAGAUACUGCAUGGAAGCCGAGAGAUCAUGAGCUAUCAACAUCAUUUUGUUAUGCAAGGGCCUUCUCAAGUUCUAUGUUCAUUUUAUGGAGACUCUCUUGCUUGGGAACCAGAGACCCAAUUCUCUGUUAAGUUUUGUUAUGCUUUGCUUGCAGGUUAGGGACUAUUAAACUUAGCAGCCCACAGUAUGUUCCAUUCCAGGAUCACACAACAUUCAAGCCUUUUCAUGGCUGGCUUUGUAAUGUGUUGAACAAGGUGCUCACAAUCGACAAUCUCAGGCACAGGGGACUGCCCAUACCCAAUGCGUCUCUUCUGCAAACAAGAGUGAUAUUCAAGUCCAUUUUAGAAGGAUUCCCUAUAACCACCUACCAAAGAGUUUCCUUUAGAAGGUGUUAUUAAGCUCAACAUCGGUAGCAGCUCUCGAGGGAUCUACAGAUUGGCAGGAGUGGGAACACUCAUUAGAGAUUGUAAAGUGAAGAUUUUUUUAUGCUUAUUUGGCCCUCUUCUUGUUCGUCGCUCUACUAAUGUGGGAGCCAGGUCUUUGCUGCCCGGAGUUCAGUUGCUAGAUGGGACCCAUGGAUGUUUUGUUAUGGAAGGAGGUUUCUAGAGCGUUUCUCAAUGAGCCACUGCAAUUGGUAAGUAAACUCGUCUUUGGCACCUCAGGAUGGUAUUCAACGAGAUAUGGUAUAUUCCUGUUGUUCUACAUUCUUGCAGGGAGACCAAUAUAGAGGCAAAUGCACUAGGCACUCGCCAAAGAAGGGGUUGUCACAACUUUUGAUUCUUUUUAAAGUCUAAUGUAACUAGACUUAAUUUGUAAAUGACUGGAUAUGCACACCCAUACAUUAUUUCUAACGACUACAGAAAGAAACACACACAUUUCACCAAGGACUUCUCCUAAAGGGCAAGCAUUUUGUGGUUCAUGCAACAAGUAAACUGGAACCUCAACCACUCAUUCUAAGAUCUGUCAACACUUACAAUGGAUGGUUGACAGGAGCCGUUCCUGUACUCUUGUUCAUCAAUAUCAAAUUGAGUGGACGAAUGCUUCAUUUAAACUAUUAAUUGCUGAUGAUUAAUACGUGAGAUGACGUGCAACACACAAUUUGGGAGGAAAGUGUUUCAGGAAGCUGUUGUUAUAUGAUCCAGGGCAUCAAACAACCAUCGUGGAGAUGAACACAAAACACCUUCCGACUACCUGGAAAAGCAUUUUUUCUUGUAAAUGUAGAAUUUGGAGCUCAAAAAAUGGUGCAAAUCUCAUGGAUCUAAGAAACAUGAAACGGAUGGUUUAAAAGAAGUGUUGCAAGAUAGAUCAUUUUAGAGCACUUCGAAUAUUUUUAUUCUUCUUGAAGGACCUGGCGGCUUUUCUUAGGAACUUCAGUUUUUACAGUGUUUUUUUUGGGUUCCCUGUGGGGUUACCUUGUCCAGGUGUUUUUGCUUCUGGCCCUGAUUUGGGGGGCCUCUCUCUUGUACCUUUGCGGUUAUAUUAAUAAAAUGUUAACAGUU